rnacentral:rRNA from 1 species
GAUGAACGCUGGCGGCGUGCCUAAUACAUGCAAGUCGAGCGAACGGACGAGAAGCUUGCUUCUCUGAUGUUAGCGGCGGACGGGUGAGUAACACGUGGAUAACCUACCUAUAAGACUGGGAUAACUUCGGGAAACCGGAGCUAAUACCGGAUAAUAUUUUGAACCGCAUGGUUCAAAAGUGAAAGACGGUCUUGCUGUCACUUAUAGAUGGAUCCGCGCUGCAUUAGCUAGUUGGUAAGGUAACGGCUUACCAAGGCAACGAUGCAUAGCCGACCUGAGAGGGUGAUCGGCCACACUGGCACUGAGACACGGUCCAGACUCCUACGGGAGGCAGCAGUAGGGAAUCUUCCGCAAUAGGCGAAAGCCUGACGGAGCAACGCCGCGUGAGUGAUGAAGGUCUUCGGAUCGUAAAACUCUGUUAUUAGGGAAGAACAUAUGUGUAAGUAACUGUGCACAUCUUGACGGUACCUAAUCAGAAAGCCACGGCUAACUACGUGC